CAGGCACGUAUGUGUUUUACAUCACUAACGUCUGAGGUGGUCAUUUUGUAUUUCUUCAUCCUGCAAAUACAAACAGCAUAUAUAACCUCUUUUUCUCAGGUUAGUAAAAAACAUUGUGAAAGAAAAGUGGCAUCCCAGUCUCCCAGCUACAAUCAUCAUUGUUGAGUAUCUAGUCAACAGUCUAUCUGGAACAGGAGAUUUCCCCAUUAAAUCCCUCACUUCCUCAAGUAAAUGGUAUCAGAAGGAAUGAGCAAACCAAGUACUUCAUGGGAGCUCAAAAAAAGUCCUUUUCUAAGUGACAAAAAGAGUUCUCUACAAUUCAAGAGAACAGAUUCACAAACAUCUCUGGAAGACUUGUUCACACUCUCUUUGCCAGUACCUGAAUCUUGGGAGGAAGAUGAAGACAAGAAUCAUGAGGAAGUGGACAGAUUCUGUCUCCCCUGUAUAACAUUAUUGAUCUUAAUUUUAUCAUUUAUCAUUUUUGUUAUUAUUCUUAUGAUGAUGUAUUUAUAUUAAACAUGAUACUAUGCAUCACACACCUGACCAUCACCCCACCUCCCACAAUCAUUAGCUGGGUGGCAA
rnacentral:lncRNA from 1 species